rnacentral:rRNA from 1 species
UACAGAGGUCUCAAGCGUUGUUCGGAUUCACUGGGCGUAAAGGGUGCGUAGGCGGGUCUUUAAGUCAGGGGUGAAAUCCUGGAGCUCAACUCCAGAACUGCCUUUGAUACUGAAGAUCUUGAGUUCGGGAGAGGUGAGUGGAACUGCGAGUGUAGAGGUGAAAUUCGUAGAUAUUCGCAAGAACACCAGUGGCGAAGGCGGCUCACUGGCCCGAUACUGACGCUGAGGCACGAAAGCGUGGGGAGCAAACGGG